rnacentral:lncRNA from 1 species
CAGGGGUGCCCGUCCGCCCUGCCCUCCCUGGGACUGGCCAGGGCCGGGCCCACAGUGCCCAACUCGCCCCCGGGGUGGCAGUUCCCGUUAACCUUAGCUACAAAGUCAAAGGUUCUCCCCAGUCAACUGGAGCCCUCACUGGCCUCAUGCCCCCAGGUCAGGCAACCCAAUAAGCGGCUGUUCCCCAUCCAAACUGCCUCCCAGCUCUGCUGGUACCUUCCUGGCUCCUUGGAGAUUUAUGGCUUCUGUUUCUGCUUCCCUGAGUUCUGUUCCUUGGGGCAGAUGGCAGAGCAGGGACCCAGCCCAUGCUGAUGCCUCAGGAAGCCUCCAAGGAUGGAGAGUGGCCUGGCUGGUGACGGCACAGGUAAGAAAGAGAAGAUGAAGAAGGCAGGAAGUCAACCAGACGCCUCCUCCCAGGCCUGCCUGCCUUUGUCCUCUCUGUAGCUGAGCAUGACUUGCUGUCAGUAGCUCAGCCAGUAACUUUUAAAAUUGUAGAAUUUCAGGCGAAUUAAAGGAUAUCGA